AUGGAAGCUCUUCCGCAUGAAGUUUUUGUUCGAGGUCUCGUUAUUCUAUGGGCCAUUUGGCAUGCCAGACGAAAGGCAAUACACGAGCACGACUUUCAGAGCCCAGCUAGCACUCAUGCCUUCAUUAACAGGUUCAUUGCAGAAAUAACUUCAUGCAAACCAGCGUCAGGUUCACAGGGGAGCCGUGUUGCACAGGCGACUGCACCCCGAUGGGAGGCUCCGCCCGCGGGCUUUGCAAAACUGAAAGUCGACGGAGCCGUGUCUAAUGCGGGCAACCGUGGUGCAGUGGGAGUUGUGUGCAGGAAUAGCGUUGGAGGUUACCUGGGAGCUUCUGCCAGAGUCUUCCCAGGAAUCAGCGAUCCAACAAUGCUUGAGGCCAUUGCAUGCCGGGAAGCUUUGGCCUUAGCGGCUGACCUCGGACAGGAACUUUUGAUCAUUGGAUCAGAUUGCAAGGAGGUGAUCAAUAUGAUGGUUCCAGAGGUGCAGCACUGUUCCUUCAUCUUCGAAGGAAGAACCUCGAAUAUCGAGGCACAUAGCCUCGCUAGACAUGCGCUUAGUCUUCCGGUAGGUCGCCACCUGUGGCUCCUAGACCGGCCUAAUAUCAAUUGUAUUCCUCAGAUUUUGAGUUGA
rnacentral:rRNA from 1 species